rnacentral:rRNA from 1 species
AACGAACGCUGGCGGCAGGCCUAACACAUGCAAGUCGAGCGAAGCCUUCGGGCUUAGCGGCGGACGGGUGAGUAACGCGUGGGAACGUGCCCUUUGGUACGGAAUAGCCCCGGGAAACUGGGAGUAAUACCGUAUGUGGUCGAGAGACGAAAGAUUUAUCGCCAAAGGAUCGGCCCGCGUUGGAUUAGGUAGUUGGUGGGGUAAUGGCCUACCAAGCCGACGAUCCAUAGCUGGUUUGAGAGGAUGAUCAGGCACACUGGGACUGAGACACGGCCCAGACUCCUACGGGAGGCAGCAGUGGGGAAUAUUAGACAAUGGGGGAAACCCUGAUCUAGCCAUGCCGCGUGAUCGAUGAAGGCCUUAGGGUUGUAAAGAUCUUUCAGUGGGGAAGAUAAUGACUGUACCCACAGAAGAAGCCCCGGCUAACUCCGUGCCAGCCGCCGCGGUAAUAC